AUUACUCUUUUAGAGGAUUCCAAUGAAGACUGGUGGAAAGGGAAAAUUCAAGACAGAAUUGGCUUCUUUCCAGCCAACUUUGUUCAGAGACUACAACAAAAUGAGAAGAUUUUUAGAUGUGUUAGAACCUUCAUUGGGUGUAAAGAACAGGGGCAGAUAACACUGAAAGAGAAUCAGGUGAGUAAAUCACACAAACACAUUCCAGAUAUCAGCCAAAUAGGGUGUCAUUUUAAUAAACUUAAUAAUAUGUAUAAAUCUGAAUGAGUGGAGUCACAUUCAAAGUAUUCACUUUGAGAAAAGAUAUACUUACUCCAAUGAUGUCAGUGUUGUAGGAGCUAAACAUGCAAACUAAAAUUUUAGGAAUCUCACUUGGUGACACCUGUUCAUAAACGAAACGUCAUAGUGGCGGGUGAGGACAUCUCGUCCCCCAU
rnacentral:sRNA from 1 species